AUUUCAAACAUUUCAUUGAAGGAGAUCAAGAAAAUUAAUUACUGAUCAAGAGCCCACCUAAACUUGCAAGAAAACAAGCUUAUGUUACUAUAGAAGAAUGAGAGAUCACCUGGGCAAAUAUAAGACAUUUUAGAUGAUCCAUAAUAGAAUUACUAACCUCCAGUCUGUCUGCCAGCUCCACAAAGACACAAGAGCAAACCCAGAAAUUCUGAGAACCUUCCUUGAAAUCAUUGAACAGCAAAUGAACAAGCUGUUGCCAACCUGGGGUAGAAGACAGCAGAAUUCCAGCAAGUUUCCUGAAUGGAUUCCCAUUCACUGCUCUUGGACUUGGGAGAGCUCUGGUAAGAGACAGGGAAACCUUUCCUUUCCCCUUCCCAGGGACUCAGUAAAUAUGCAGGCACCACAGCCAGGGUAUUCAUUGAUCAGAUGUACAUCCCUCCUCCACAACAGACAAAUUGAUCACUCUGGAUCACCAAGAAGAUCUACGUUGUUUACAUAAUAACAAUAGUGGGGUUUAUUACAGUGUAAUAUUGUAAUGACUUUUUGUCCAGGAAACUUGUGAACAUCCCAUUUUUAUCCACAAACUGUUAUUCUUUCCUGCAAGGUCCCCAAGGGAAGUAUACACACAAUAUAAUUAAAACACAACAAAGAAGCAUUCUACUGUGCGUUUACCAUACACUCUAAAGUGGAAUUUCAAGACACUAAGCGAAAGCAUACUUUAUUUUAAAUGUUAGAUAUGCUGGUAUGUUUUGUACAAUCAAAUACUUAUGAGACCUGUUCUCUCCAUUUGUCCUAGUGAGGCAGGAAAUUAAAGAAAAAUAAAAUUAAAAAGAGAAAUAAGUUUUCCUGUAUUAGGCUAACUUGUCCCAGGCAGCAACAGGCACAGCCCAGACCCAGGAAAAUUCUUGCUAAUAUUAUCUAAUGUGCUCUGGAGGCUCUCCCAGCAUUCCCUCAACAUACGGAGAAGAAAAACCAAAUUUUCCUUUAUUUUAUGGAAUGAGUUUAUAGAUUCCUGUUCUCUGUAACUAGUGACUUCAAGUAUUGUUUUAUCUAAGAAGUACAACGAAGGUCAUGAGAAGCCUGAGUAGGCCUGAACUACAGCUGCCUGGGCACCAUAGUGAAGGUUAUGGGAUAAGCCCGUGCCUAGGCAAACCUAGAUAACGGACAUCUGGGUUGCAUAGCAAUGGUUAUGUGCAAUCCUACGUUAUACACCUGUUACAAUUUGAUUAACUGUCUUUGUCCUGCCUCUGUAUCCCUGCUUUCACACCACUGUAAGCUUGCUUCA